CUACGGGCCGCUGCAAUGAGGAAUAUUGCACAAUGGAGGAAACUCUGAUGCAGCAACGCCGCGUGGAGGAUGACGCAUUUCGGUGUGUAAACUCCUCUUAUAUGUCAAGAAAAUGACGGUAGCAUAUGAAUAAGCACCGGCUAACUCCGUGCCAGCAGCCGCGGUAAUACGGAGGGUGCAAGCGUUACUCGGAAUCACUGGGCGUAAAGGACGCGUAGGCGGGAUAUCAAGUCAGGUGUGAAAUCCUACAGCUUAACUGUAGAACUGCACUUGAAACUGGUAACCUAGAGUAUGGGAGGGGGAGAUGGAAUUAGUGGUGUAGGGGUAAAAUCCGUAGAUAUCACUAGGAAUACCUAAAGCGAAGGCGAUCUCCUGGAACAUAACUGACGCUAAGGCGUGAAAGCGUGGGGAGCAAACAGGAUUAGAUACCCUUGUAGUC
rnacentral:rRNA from 1 species